GACGAACGCUGGCGGCGUGCUUAACACAUGCAAGUCGAACGGAAAGGCCCUGCUUUUGUGGGGUGCUCGAGUGGCGAACGGGUGAGUAACACGUGAGUAACCUGCCCUUGACUUUGGGAUAACUUCAGGAAACUGGGGCUAAUACCGGAUAGGAGCUCCUGCUGCAUGGUGGGGGUUGGAAAGUUUCGGCGGUUGGGGAUGGACUCGCGGCUUAUCAGCUUGUUGGUGGGGUAGUGGCUUACCAAGGCUUGGACGGGUAGCCGGCCUGGGAGGGUGACCGGCCACAUUGGGACUGAGAUACGGCCCAGACUCCUACGGGAGGCAUCAGUGGGGAAUAGUGCACAAUAGGCGGAAUCCGGAUGCAGCAACGCCGCGUGCGGGAUGACGGCCGUCGGGUUGUAAACCGCUUGCGCCUGUGACGAAGCGUGAGUGACGGUAAUGGGUAAAGAAGCACCGGCUAACUACGUG
rnacentral:rRNA from 1 species